AUGUAUGAGGAUGUCGGUGUCUCAUCAAACAUGUAUUGUGUGAGGACACCCUUCGUCCGACCUAAUCUUGACGAUCAUCCGCAGGAAUCUAGAGCAGCACUUCAAAACUCCCAGGUUGUUUUCAUCAGCAAGCUUAUAGAUGACCACAUGGUGGAACUCAAUAAUACAACGCUGUACGAUGCACCUGAGAUUCCAAUGGAUACCUGUCGAAGCGAUGUGGUCAUCAGCAUGUAUGCUCUCAAGCUCCUGGUAGAGCAUUUUCCCUUAAACGAUGCUAUUGUCACGUCAUGCAUAUCAUGGUUCUGUUGGUUGGUAAUUUGA
rnacentral:rRNA from 1 species